GAUGAACGCUAGCGGCAGGCUUAAUACAUGCAAGUCGAGGGGCAGCAGGACUGUAGCAAUACAGUUGCUGGCGACCGGCAAACGGGUGCGGAACACGUACGCAACCUUCCUUUAAGUGGGGAAUAGCCCAGGGAAACUUGGAUUAAUACCUCGUAACAUUAUGAGAUGGCAUCAUCUUAUAAUUAUAGCUCCGGCGCUUAAAGAUGGGCGUGCGCCUGAUUAGGUAGUUGGCGGGGUAACGGCCCACCAAGCCUUCGAUCAGUAACUGGUGUGAGAGCACGACCAGUCACGCGGGCACUGAGACACGGGCCCGACUCCUACGGGAGGAAGCAGUAAGGAAUAUUGGUCAAUGGACGCAAGUCUGAACCAGCCAUGCCGCGUGGAGGAUGAAGGUCCUCUGGAUUGUAAACUUCUUUUAUCUGGGAAGAAACCCAUAUUUUCUAGUGUGGUUGACGGUACCAGAUGAAUAAGCACCGGCUAACUCCGUGCCAGCCGCCGCCGUAAGAC
rnacentral:rRNA from 1 species